rnacentral:rRNA from 1 species
UACAGAGGAGCCAAGCGUUGUCCGGAUUGACUGGGCGUAAAGCGCACGCAGGCGGACGCGCGCGUGGGGUGUGAAAUCUGGCCGCUUAACGGCCAGGCGCCAUCCCAUACGGCGCGUCUGGAGUGAUGCAGAGGUCGGUGGAAUUCCCAGUGUAGAGGUGAAAUUCGUAGAUAUUGGGAAGAACACCGAUGGCGAAGGCAGCCAUCUGGACCGACACUGACGCUGAGGCGCGAAAGCGUGGGGAGCAAACAGG